UCAUAUUGGGUAGGGGAGCGUUCUGUAAGCCGUUGAAGGUGAUCUGUAAGGGUUGCUGGAGGUAUCAGAAGUGCGAAUGCUGACAUGAGUAACGAUAAAGGGAGUGAAAAACUCCCUCGCCGGAAGAUCAAGGGUUCCUGUCCAACGUUAAUCGGGGCAGGGUAAGUCGACCCCUAAGGCGAGGCCGAAAGGCGUAGUCGAUGGGAAACGGGUUAAUAUUCCCGUACUGCUUAUAACUGCGAUGGGGGGACGGAGAAGGCUAGGUGGGCUUGGCGACGGUCGUCCAAGUUCAAGGGUGUAGGCUGAUAGUUUAGGCAAAUCCGGACUAUCUUAAGGCUGAGACCCGAUGUCGAGUCACUACGGUGAUGAAGUCAUUGAUGCCAUGCUUCCGGGAAAAGCCUCUAAGC
rnacentral:rRNA from 1 species